rnacentral:snRNA from 1 species
GAGUUUGAGGGGGCUCUGACUGUGAAAUCUGUCACCCCAUUGAUCUCUAGGGUUGACUCGGCUGAUUCGGCUUCUUAGGCGAGCGUUCCCUUCCUCCCUCACUGCUCCAUGUGCAUCCCCAUCUCAAAGAUGCUCACUCGGUUGAAGAGCAUGAACAUCGUCACUAGAGGAGGACCAUUCUUCAUUAUAGGGUUUAUGAGCCACUGCGCACCCCUAGAAUCUCUCAACAAGCCCUCUCACCCCUAGAAUCUCUCAACAAGCCCUCUCACGAAAUCUGACUGCUCCAAGACCACCAUACUGGAGAGGUCAUGGGAAGGGCUCAGGUCAACUGUUCCA